GUAGGGGGCGAGCGUUGUCCGGAUUUAUUGGGCGUAAAGAGCUCGUAGGCGGCUCAGCAAGUCGGCCGUGAAAGCCUGAGGCUCAACCUCAGGACGCCGGUCGAAACUGCUGUGGCUAGGGUUCGGUAGAGGAGAGUGGAAUUCCCGGUGUAGCGGUGAAAUGCGCAGAUAUCGGGAGGAACACCAGUAGCGAAGGCGGCUCUCUGGGCCGAUACCGACGCUGAGGAGCGAAAGCUAGGGGAGCGAACAGGGAUUAGAUACCCUGGUAGUCCUAGCUGUAAACGUUGGGCACUAGGUGUGGCGGACUCAUUGACGUCUGCCGUGCCGAAGCUAACGCAUUAAGUGCCCCCGCCUGGGAGUACGGUCGCAAGGCUA
rnacentral:rRNA from 1 species